rnacentral:rRNA from 1 species
UACGAAGGGUGCAAGCGUUAUUCGGAAUUACUGGGCGUAAAGGGUGCGUAGGCGGUUCGUUAAGUCUGUCGUGAAAUCCCCGGGCUCAACCUGGGAAUUGCGUUGGAGACUGCAAGGCUGGAGUCUGGCAGAGGGGGGUAGAAUUCCACGUGUAGCAGUGAAAUGCGUAGAGAUGUGGAGGAACACCGAUGGCGAAGGCAGCCCCCUGGGUCAAGACUGACGCUCAUGCACGAAAGCGUGGGGAGCAAACAGG